rnacentral:lncRNA from 1 species
CCUAUUCACUUCCCGGUCUGACUUCGGCCCAACGGCCCAUCCUUUCUUUUCUUCUUUUCUCGCGAGCGCGGCCUGCCAGCUGCUCUGGACCUCCGGCCUUUUUCUUUUUCCGGCUGACCGCCCCCGACUUCUUGGGCUGCUACUGCGUCGGCCCAAAGACGCCCGUACCCCGGCCUCCUUCACUCCCCGUCUCUCUGACGCGCGGGCCUGCUGC